rnacentral:rRNA from 1 species
CUACGGGGCGCAGCAGUGGGGAAUACUGCACAAUGGGCGCAAGCCUGAUGCAGCCAUGCCGCGUGUAUGAAGAAGGCCUUCGGGUUGUAAAGUACUUUCAGCGGGGAGGAAGGGAGUAAAGUUAAUACCUUUGCUCAUUGACGUUACCCGCAGAAGAAGCACCGGCUAACUCCGUGCCAGCAGCCGCGGUAAUACGGAGGGUGCAAGCGUUAAUCGGAAUUACUGGGCGUAAAGCGCACGCAGGCGGUUUGUUAAGUCAGAUGUGAAAUCCCCGGGCUCAACCUGGGAACUGCAUCUGAUACUGGCAAGCUCGAGUCUCGUAGAGGGGGGUAGAAUUCCAGGUGUAGCGGUGAAAUGCGUAGAGAUCUGGAGGAAUACCGGUGGCGAAGGCGGCCCCCUGGACGAAGACUGACGCUCAGGUGCGAAAGCGUGGGGAGCAAACAGGAUUAGAUACCCUAGUAGUC